AAGGGCACCACAAGAACGCGUGGAGCAUGUGGCUUAAUUUGACUCAACGCGGGAAAUCUUACCGGGUCCGGACACACUGAGGAUUGACAGGCAAUUAUUGCUAACAGUUUCUUUUUUUUUUAAAAGUACUGUUGCAACAACAAAUAUGCUAGUCCUUUCAUGAUUAUGUGAUAGGUGGKGCAUGGCCGUUCUUAGUUCGUGGAGUGAUCUGUCUGCUUAAUUGCGUUUCAUUAUGGACCAUGUUAUAACAUGUACUAUCUCUUGAUUUUCAAAUUUUCAUUUAUUUGAGAUUUGUUAUAAAGAAGGAGUUUUGGUGCAAUUGGUCCUGAAAGCAACGAACGUGACCACAUCCUCUUGUUGCCUUUUUAACUUGGCAUUUUUUUUAAUUUAUUUUAACAUUUUUGUCAUAACAUAAGAGGCUUUCAGAAAACUAGAGGGACCGCUGCGACUUUUUUAAACCAGAGGAAGGUUGCGGCAAUAACAGGUCUGUGAUGCCCUUAGAUGUUCCGGGCUGCACACGUGCUACAAUGAUUAUUGCAGUGAGCAUCUCAUUUUAUUUUUUGUGCUUGUCUUGUCUGCGAGUUUAUUCUCAACGACGACAGCCUUAGCCUGCUUCGAAAGUUCGCAGGUAAUCAAUUGGAAGUAAUGAUUUCCCUUUCUCUUUUUUUAUUACAUUUAUUUUGUGAUUUCUUUAAUUAAGCGAGCACACAAUAUGCUGCUCUCUCGCCCUGUCUUUUUGAGCUUGUAUUUCUUUUUUUAGUUUAUACAUCUCAGUUUGACUGCGUUUUGUGGGAGUGUGUUUGUCUUUUUAUAUUUAUUCCGCUUUUUGCAUUUUUAUUAAUGUAUAUUAGUGUCUAUAUUUUAUAAUAGCAGCUUUCAGCAUGUGCUUUUUGUUAAUUCAAGGUGGGGACAGACCAUUGUUAAUUGUUGGUCUCGUUUCAACUAGGAAUGCCUUGUACGGGUCUUUGGUUCAACAAACCACCCGGAAUACGUCCCUGCCCUUUGUACACACCGCCCGUCGCUCUUACCGAUGGACUUCUCUGUGAGUUUGAGGGACUGGGUUGCAGUUUUUUUUAUAUUCUGCAAACACCUACGGAAACUUAAACGAACAGUGUGGUCUAAAGGAAAGAGAAGUC
rnacentral:rRNA from 1 species